AACGAACGCUGGCGGCAUGCCUAACACAUGCAAGUCGAACGAGACCUUCGGGUCUAGUGGCGCACGGGUGCGUAACGCGUGGGAACCUGCCCUUAGGUUCGAAAUAACUCCCCGAAAGGGGUGCUAAUACCGGAUAAUGUCUUCGGACCAAAGAUUUAUCGCCUUUGGAUGGGCCCGCGUUGGAUUAGCUAGUUGGUAGGGUAAAAGCCUACCAAGGCGACGAUCCAUAGCUGGUCUGAGAGGAUGAUCAGCCACACUGGGACUGAGACACGGCCCAGACUCCUACGGGAGGCAGCAGUGGGGAAUAUUGGACAAUGGGCGAAAGCCUGAUCCAGCAUGCCGCGUGAGUGAUGAAGGCCUUAGGGUUGUAAAGCUCUUUUACCCGGGAUGAUAAUGACAGUACCGGGAGAAUAAGCUCCGGCUAACUCCGUG
rnacentral:rRNA from 1 species